UAUAAUCUCUCAUCUAGGCAGUUUACUGCCAUUCCAUCUUGGAAGCUUCAACAGAAGAUCUCGAGUUACCAAUUUGCCUACAAUUUCUUACAACUCAAUGGCACCCCGCACACCAAAGAAGCCCGCAGGCCGCAAACGGAGAAGAAGAUCCACCAUCCGCCGCAGACAGAAACGCCAGGCUGCCGUGGCGGAGGAAACCCUGGUGGAAUACCUGCGCCGGGCAUAUAAGAUGCUGCCCGCAUACCAGGCACAACAAAAACAGUAGCCUGCAGACUGUGAGGCCUCAGGGGCUAGCCCAGCUGGUGGCCCACUAAUACCUGGUCACCAUGGAGGCCUUGUGGUGGUACAUUAGAUUAGGCUAAGAGUAGUCAGGGGGAAAAAAAGUAACAUCAAAAAAAAUAAUUAACAUAAAAAAAAAAAAAAAACAACAACUCUGCUAAAAAAAAUUCAAAAAGUGUUAGUGGUAAUUGUAGCUAGAAGCUUCUUUUUUUUUUCAUUAAUGUUUUCAUGAAAAGGAAAAUGGAAUCUCAUAUUAAUGCUGUGAUACAUUGCUAUCUAUCCAAUAUAUUCCAGUAGAUAGCAAUGUUUCUCAGCAUUAAUAUGGAAUCUGAUAUUAAUGCUGUGAAAUGUUGCUAUCUACUGGAAUAUAUUGGAUAGAUAGCAAUGUAUCACAGCAUUAAUAUGUUAUUCCAUUUUCCUUUUCAUGAAAACAUUAAUGGGGGUUUUUUUAUGUUAAAACCAGUUAUUGCGUUUCCCAACAACUGGUUUAAUCAUAAAUAAUCCCACCCCUUUACCUUACCACCUCAGUCUGAGUCACCUGGCAAAGACAAAAGAUCCAGGAGCUGAAACACCAGCGCUUACCACCUCAGUCUGAGUCACCUGGCAAAGAAAAAAGAUCCAGGAGCUGAAACACCAGCGCUUACCACCUCAGUCUGAGUCACCUGGCAAAGAAAAAAGAUCCAGGAGCUGAAACACCAGCGCUUACCACCUCAGUCUGAGUCACCUGGCAAAGAAAAAAGAUCCAGGAGCUGAAACACCAGCGCUUACCACCUCAGUCUGAGUCACCUGGCAAAGAAAAAAGAUCCAGGAGCUGAAACACCAGCGCUUACCACCUCAGUCUGAGUCACCUGGCAAAGAAAAAAGAUCCAGGAGCUGAGAUACCAGCGCUUACCACCUCAGUCUGAGUCACCUGGCAAAGAAAAAAGAUCCAGGAGCUGAGAUACCAGCGCUUACCACCUCAGUCUGAGUCACCUGGCAAAGAAAAAAGAGAUCCAGGAGCUGAGACACCAGCGCUUACCGCCUCAGUCUGAGUCACCUGGCAAAGAAAAAAAGAUCCAGGAGCUGAGACACCAGCGCUUACCACCUCAGUCUGAGUCACCUGGCAAAGAAAAAAAGAUCCAGGAGCUGAGACACCAGCGCUUACCACCUCAGUCUGAGUCACCUGGCAAAGAAAUAGAACAUACUGUAAAGAGCCAGGAGUUGAAAUACUACCUCCCACCAUGCAACUGAAUGACUACUCCGUUGGUGUCACCUGGAAAAUUAUCUAAAUAAAAAACAAAUAAACAAAAAAAAAA